rnacentral:rRNA from 1 species
CAGCAGCCACGGUAAUACGAAGGGGGCUAGCGUUGCUCGGAAUGACUGGGCGUAAAGGGCGCGUAGGCGGAUGGUACAGUCAGAUGUGAAAUUCCUGGGCUCAACCUGGGGGCUGCAUUUGAUACGUCCAAACUAGAGUGUGGAAGAGGGUCGUGGAAUUCCCGGUGUAGCGGUGAAAUGCGUAGAGAUCGGGAGGAACAUCAGUGGCGAAGGCGACUAUCUGGGCCAACACUGACACUGAGGCACGAAAGCGUGGGGAGCAAACAGGAUUAGAUACCCCGGUAGUCCCUGUCUCUUAUAC